AUUGAACGCUGGCGGCAUGCCUUACACAUGCAAGUCGAACGGCAGCACGGGAGCAAUCCUGGUGGCGAGUGGCGAACGGGCGAGUAAAGUAUCGGAACGUGCCAGUCGUGGGGGAUAACGUAGCGAAAGUUACGCUAAUACCGCAUACGAUCUAUGGAUGAAAGCGGGGGAUAGCAAGCACUGGCGCGAUUGGAGCGGACGAUAUCCGAUUAGGCAGUUGGUGGGGUAAAGGCUCACCAAGCCGACGAUCUGUAGCUGGUCUGAGAGGACGACCAGCCACACUGGGACUGAGACACGGCCCAGACUCCUACGGGAGGCAGCAGGGGGGAAUUUUGGACAAUGGGCGAAAGCCUGAUCCAGCCAUGCCGCGUGCAGGAUGAAGGCCUUCGGGUUGUAAACUGCUUUUGUACGGAACGAAAAGGUUUGGCCUAAUAAGCUGAGCUCAUGACGGUACCGUAAGAAUAAGCACCGGCUAACUACGUGCCAGCCGCCGCCGUAA
rnacentral:rRNA from 1 species